UGCUAAUACAUUAACAAGCAUCUUUUUUCAUGAAAGCUGAUGUUUUGCUUUUUCUCUCAUGAUUACACAGUUCCUCCAACACCCAAGGCUCCGGCCCCAGUUUGCGAGGACAAUGCAAAAGGUUGUGCAGCCCAUAAAAAUAAAUCUCCAACAUACUGCAACACCGAUCAUGCAGGAGUAGACUGUCGCAAGACUUUCGAACUUUGCUUUCGUCUAGCUUGACGGGGAAAAAGAAGUGAACAGGCAAGGAGAUUACAUUUUGACACUGCCAAAAAUUGCAUUUAAUUAACUGUAAUGAGAGUCUGAAAACUUUGUUCAAACUUUAGAAAUGGGGGGUCAAGUAUCAGGAAAAUGCUUUUAAAAGGUGAUCAAAG